rnacentral:rRNA from 1 species
UACGUAGGGUGCAAGCGUUGUCCGGAAUUAUUGGGCGUAAAGAGCGUGUAGGCGGCCCGAUUAGUCCGCUGUGAAAGUCCAGGGCUCAACCCUGGAAUGCCGGUGAAUACUGUCGGGCUAGAGUCCGGAAGGGGCGAGUGGAAUUCCUGGUGUAGCGGUGGAAAUGACGCAGAUAUCAGGAGGAACACCGGUGGCGAAGGCGGUUCUCUGGGCAUGUCCUGACGCUGAGGAGCGAAAGUGUGGGGAGCGAACAGG